rnacentral:SRP_RNA from 1 species
GCCGAGUUGGGUAGCUCCAACUUGUAACCUAAGUGGGGGCAUUAAGGUGAUGGAACAUAGCUUUGGCUUGUCAGGUUGGUCUGGAGGGUGCACUAUGUUGGCCUGCCCACUCCAAGUUUGGAGUUGAAUCAUGGGACUUGGGCGAAAGCUUGGGUCUCUUGUCUCUUAGACUGGAGGGCACAGCGUGAGGCUGGUUUCACAGAGCAGCGAACACCUCCUUCUCCUAACAGUGGAGGGAUCACAAGCCACAGCAUUCCCGGUCNNNNNNNNNNNNNNCAAAAAGCCUGGUGAGCUAAGCCAUUGAACCAUCAUUUUU